AGGAAGGCCAAGGCCUCUGGGACCAGGGGCCGGGACAGAGAGCAGGACGCAUUCCAGGAGGGGGCAGAACACCAGGGUCAAGGCUGGAGGAAGCGAGGACAGGGGUUCUGACGAGAGGCUGCUGUCACCAGAGCUGCCCGGCUUGGGCGCUGAAUGGAGGCCUUCCGGGGACAUGGGGAUCGGAGGCCCAGCACCUUGAAUGACAGGUGGAUGCCGAGAGCGAAGUCACCAAGUUAGAGUGAGGUCACCUUGCAGCUCAGGGUCGUCCAGCUCGCGCGCGUGACGCACGGUCUCCGUGGGGAGGUAUCGCUGUCCCGGUGCUUGCCUGGCGCCUGCACGCCUGAGGCUCUCCCAGCGCAACCAGCCCUCCCGCCCGCUCUGCCGGUGUCUUAUGGCCUCACUGGCUCAGGGUAUCUUAUUCCACCUGGGAUUUAUUUGGGGCACGGGGCCAUGAGGUCAUCCCCCUCUCCCUUAAUUAGUUGACAACGUGCUUGGGACUAUGAUGGACAAUUCCUUCUUCCCCGAGAUCGUGCUGUAUGUAGCAUGUGUACCUCAGGGCAGGGCUUCCGGGGGCGGUGUCUCACCUUUCUCGACUCUGGCCUGUGGAUCCGAGUGACUGUUUUCUGGGAUCAGAACCAGCUGGGUGGAUGGACGAUUGCUCCAUAAUUAUGAUCUCUUCCCAUCUGAAAUUUUCUCGUCUGUUGUAUGUGUUUGCUGCUGCAGCAUAACAAAUGGCCCCACCGUCUA